AAUAAAUACAGUUUCAGCACUAUUCAUAUUUAACGUUUGACUAUUCGUCUUAUUUAAAAAAGAUUAUGAUUAGUAUUUUUAUUGUUAUUAGAUGAUAAAACAUAAAUAGUACUUUAUGUGUGACUAAUCUUUUUUAGCAUUUUUCAUAAAGUUUUCAAAUAAGACGGAUGGUCAAAGCGCUAAACACGAAUAUCUAUGGCUGCACUUAUU
rfam:Oryza meridionalis cultivar OR44 (W2112) chromosome 6, whole genome shotgun sequence.